GUUGCUCUAAUGCCUCAAGAUCAGACAUUGAGCCAUUGGGAUUCGUGUUAUGAUUUUGGGGCGUUACAACACCCAGUUCAGAUUCUUGUACAACAACCGGUGCACCAAUACCCGGUUAAAUUGGGUUAUCUAAUCCCUAGUGGCCCCAUUGCUAAACUGAUGAGACCUAUGGUAUUCGAUCCGACCUGUCCUGCCAGUCCAGAUAAAACUGAUUGAUGAUCCCAUGCUCUCGAUACAACCUCUUAUACAACUACCAAGGACACCAAAUAGUAUUUUAACUUUGGGUACACACAGUACUCCCGGAUGAGAUCUUCAGACUUCUCGGCACUGCCAGGUCUCUUGAGUAGUCUUGUUCAGUUCUUCUGUCAGCCUGGCCUUACUAACGCGGAGGUGCUCGAGUUCCUCGACUUCAGAACUACCAGGACUCCGGCUUAGAUGAAAUAACCUCAAGAGUGCUGACUGGGUCUGCACAACAGAUAGAAAGUGUCAGAAAUUGCUACCUGAAUAAAAGAAGAGGAGAAUGAUAUAGUUAGCUGGAAUAUACCUCAAGCCACUUAUGGGUCACCAUACGCACAACCUGCUCACGAGGAAGAGAUUUGCAGUAGGCAACGUCUCGCGGCAACAAGUUGUAGAAGACGAAAACGUCGGCGGUAUAGCUAUCAACUAUACCAGAAUCAUCCUCAAUCAUUGAGGUCCCAUCCCCGAAUGUGGGCUAGAUCCCGAAGAUACUCGUCUCCGGAUUUGGCUUAUUACGAUCGGGCCCAAAUGGAACAAUAAUAUCGGUACCGGUUAAAAAAACAUCUACAGAAAUGUCGACAACUGGUGGCGGCCCCUCGGCCGGAGUAGGCAUCGGUGACACCUUCCCGGCAGAAACAGGAACGAAGAACUCUAAGUUGGUCCUGACACGCUCCACAACAAGAGCGUCAACAAUAGGAACUUUUGGAACCGCUGCCAACUAGUAUGGUCCCCACUGUAGGGGCCCUCAAAUCCCUGAGAGCAUGUGCAAUGGUCCCUCCCUUCUCUGCCUAGGGCCUCUACGACCAGCGGUAUUAGCCUCAACUAGAGAAGCAGAAACAACCCUCUUAGAACCCCUUACAGAAUCGUCAACAACAACCUUACCCUUAGGAUCAAAAGGGGUAGAGGGCUGAACACCAGAAGCCUCAUCCGACAUUCUCACUACAACAACAGCCAAAGGGGCAAAAACAGAAACAACUUCAACAGAAAGAGGAUGAGGCAAACUUACCGGAACCCCUUUAUCACUGGGGGCGUCAUGGUGGUGGAGAUCCUCCAUGAUCUAAUCACCAGUCUCUUGUAUGUUUCCAAGGCCAGGCCCACCGAGGGGACUGGUAGCAUUAAGAAAUCUUCCCUCAUCCGACUCGCAUGAACCAGCAGACUGCUCAGGUUGAGCAACUUUAUCAAGCAACUUUAUCAACUGCAAUCAUAACCUGCACCAUAGACAGAAAGAAACCUUCAGUUGCAGGCUCACUUGA
rnacentral:lncRNA from 1 species